UACAGAGGGUGCAAGCGUUGUUCGGAAUUAUUGGGCGUAAAGGGAGUGUAGGCUGUUAAGUAGGUCUUCUGUGAAAUCUACGGGCUUACCCCGUAACGUGCAGAGGAAACUGCUUAGCUUGAGUGUCGGAGAGGAUAGGGGAAUACCCGGUGUAGAGGUGAAAUUCGUAGAGAUCGGGUGGAACACCAGUGGCGAAGGCGCCUAUCUGGCUGACAACUGACGCUGAGACUCGAAAGCAUGGGGAGCAAACAGG
rnacentral:rRNA from 1 species